CAUUAAAGAGCAUCUGUUUUUUGCAAACUGGUGUUUAUUAAAACUGGUGUGCCUUAAGUACUUAGGAUGAGUGAGAACUGGUAAACAAAGUAAGUGCCCUUCAAAACUUGUGUCAAGUGUGAUGGGUUUGUUCUUCUAUUUUGUCAAGAAUUAUUUUCUUUAGUAGACAUACUGAACAUUUUACUCACUAAAACAUUUUAUUUGCUUUCCUAACACUUUGUAGAGGCAGUGAGUCAAGAUAAUCUUGCUUCUUGUAUGCAAGUCCUUCUCUGAAGACGGCUAUCAUACCAAACUAUAUAGUUGUAUUAGUGACUUACAUACUGUCCAGUGUAAUUUCAUUUGUUAACUAGCUUUUAUGAAACAAGAAAUACGAUUUUUAUUUAUGAAAUAAAAAUCUGUGCUUUUUGAUGCUUUUUCUAACGGCUGCAAGUUUUAUACAGUAGUUGCUCUUUCACAGCAUUGGUGCUGUGCUGCCUUGGCAAGGAGCACCAGUUGUAACUAUAAGACCAGAACUGUUUUCAUGUGAUUAUACACAGAUAGAAACACCAUGUUCUGCCCUUGAAAGGGGAGGGAAGGCCCUAUAGUUGAGAUUGUUUUCUCGUGAGCGGGAUGGAAUCCUAUGCUGUUGGCUCCUCCACCUCCUUGGUGUAAGAGAUUGUUGGGAUGCAGUGCAUUAGCAAAAUUCCUGAUUGAUGAAUGGACUUCUAGGGACUGUUUCUGGAGAUAAUCUGUGUUGUCAAACUAAUCAGGACUUAAGAUGAACUGUAGUAGCUCUAACAUUGUAUUGCAACAGAGUUUAUAGAGUCCAGGUGUUUCAUCUGCACUACUGAAAUGCUCUACCUCUGGUGGUGCAACAGGAGUGGUGGAUAUGUGCAGCAUUCCCUCUUCUGCUUUUUAGUAAGCACUUUCUUCCUUUGAGUAGGGCUUAAGUUGUUUUAGUGCUUUUGAAAAAUGUUGCAUGCUUCAAUUUGAGUAGUUUUGUAUGUUUUUAUAAGUAGAUUCUCCAUUAGUGUAAAAAACAAAAAACCCAAAGCAAACAAACAAAAACCCCAUCCAACCCCCUCCCCCGAAAAAGCUAUCUGUCAUCUUUGUAUAAGGUAAUCUGAGGUGUUUUUUAGAACAUGCUGAAUAAACAUAUAAAUGCUGAUCAGGAGGGUAAUCAAAGGCUGCUGUGACAACUUAAUGUUUUGGUGCCUUAUAACCUUUUCUCUAGUUUAACAGACACGCUUAUAGUUUAAUGUUUUUCAUUAAUAUUCUCCAGUAGAGUUAACUGGCAGUGAACAGGGCGUAGUAUCUCGCAGACGCUAGGAACAGCUAGGAGAGGAUAAUGUUUUAACUGCUGUAGGCAGCAAUGUAGUGCUUACCUACUCUUGGCUAACAAUAUAGAAAUUUACCUUUAGAAUCAGCAAGGCCUGUAAAACCAGUGAGCUCUGCAAUUUUGGAGUUAAGUACUUUGGAAGGCUAAAAGCUGUAUCAUGCUGCUUCAGUGCAGAAAUUUUGCUGUAGAAGACUGUUGAUACUUGAUUCUCCAUCUGGCCUGUGAAUAGUCUUUUACAUUAAAGUGUGUCUGAAAGUGUUUCUCGUCUCUUUAUCUAGGCAUUUGAAGCACAUCACGCAGCAAUGAAAUUGUGUUCUGCAGUAAUAACAUGGUGAAAAUUACUUAAAAACACUGGCAACAAUUCUUGCGUGUAUUCCUGUGUGAAAUAUACUAAACUACAAAUUAAGGGUAACAACGUGUAGGAAGGACUUCUACGUCAGCUUACUUCAGCUGUCCUUGCACAGUGCUUAAAAUGAAAGUUUAGUUCUGUAUGGAUUUUUCACUUUGCCUGAUAGUUGAAAUUAUACAUCUAGAUUAAACAGCAUAACUUGUCACAUUUCAGUGUAGAAAACGUGCAUUAGGAAAAUAAUGGUAAUAAAAUGCAGCACAGACAACCAAAUGCCUGCUUCCCUGUGUGUAGAAAGCAGGAGUUAUAAUCUCUAUGAAAUUCUUAUUUUGUCACUAGAGGGUGCUAAAAGCUAUGAAGUAUUUAGUAUAGCACUUGCUUUAUUUUGCUGUCUCCAAACUGGUAUUAUUUUUUACCUUUAUGAAUGUCCUCCUUCCCCCAGAAGCAGGGUUUAUAAUGUCCAAUGCUGUGUGCAUACUGAAUACAUGCACGGUUAUCUGAAAUGAAUAUGUUUUGUUUCUUCCUAAAAAUUAGUAUUAGUUGUUUGCAAUAGUGCACACUAUUGCACACUCACUACGUACUCUGUUCAUCCUUUCACCAGUUGGUUGCAGAUAGGCUUUCUUAAAAAUUGACAUCUUCCAUAAAUAGUGGGUGCUCUAUAGGUACUUGGAAUUUUAUUUUCUUGGGUUUUUUUGAGAGUAGGAAACUAAGACUACGUUGGUGGAAAAUGUAAAAACCAAGGGUGGGCAUAGCCUUGGAAAGAGUCUUUAGGACUAAGGAUCUCCUUAGGAAAGAUCACUUAAGUAUGUUGGCUUUAGGUGCAAUCUGUUUAGAUUAUGCCUUGUUUUCCAUGGCUUUGAAAUAAGGUGUUACUGGCAAAGCAUUUUACAGCAAUUUUAUAUAAAUCCCUUUUCCCUUCAGAUAUGUGGGAUUACAUAUUAUUAUGUCUUGCAAACCGUAAUUUAAACCUAAUUUUGUAAGUAGCCUUAUAUUAGUCAUCCAGCUGACUUGAGGAUAAAAUCUCAUGUAAAAUCUUAAUUAUGUAGUCGCUGUUAGUCCUAAUCCAUGUACAGGGAUGGUUUAUCUGCUGAAACGCUGCUGUCCCUAGUAGGCAGCGUGGGUAAACUAGUGGCAAGGCAAAGGGAAACUACAGAGUGAAUGCCUGUUCACUCUUCUGCACGUUGUUCUCAAAUCUCUUUGUUGUUAUUAACGUGUAUCUGCAUCUUCUUGGAACAUGCCAGGGUCUUAACAAGAUAAAGUGGGUAAAAUACAGUAAUAUAUCCCAAAUUUGUGCCGUAUGUAAUUUUUUUCUGAUACUUUAGUUAUUUUCAUUUAUUAAAAUGCUAGUCCAAUAAUUUCUGAGACUUCAUUUAAAGUAAACUAUAUUUUUUGUUAACUGUCCUCACUCAUCGCUUUGGUGUCCAGUAUUUAAGUUGUCAUGAAAAGAGGCCUGCUCCUUUUAAAAUGCAUCUCGGGUGAGACAGCAGUUAAAAACAAAAGAUGGGAAUCUGCUUUUUUUCAGAUCAACAUGCUCUCUGUUAACUUCCGUUAUGUGGUCAUACCAAUUUCCAUAGAAAUCUUCUAAAUCUAGUUUCGACAAAUACUAGUAUUAAGAGAUUCUAACUUCCUUCACACUCGUAUUUCUCUGUAAUCUGUGAAGCAAAUAGUUUGUCAACCAAAUAAGCAAUUCCUGUCAAAGCCUGUUAAUUUCUCAAAAUCCUUAAAUUCCCUUGACUUCUGUAGAAACAUUAAAUAAAUACUAUGAGUAUUUUUAAAAAUUGAUUGA